rnacentral:rRNA from 1 species
GACGAACGCUGGCGGCGUGCUUAACACAUGCAAGUCGAACGGAAAGGCCCGGCGCUUGUGGGGUGCUCGAGAGGCGAACGGGUGAGUAAAACGUGAGUAUCCUGCCCUUGUCUUUGGGAGAACUUCAGGAAACUGGGGCGAAUACCGGAGAGGAGCUACUGAUGCAUGGGGGGGGUUGGAAAGAUUCGGCGGUUGGGGCUGGACUCGCGGGUUAUGAGCUAGUUGGUGGGGUAGUGGCUUCCCAAGGCUUUGAAGGGUAGCCGGCCUUGGAGGGUGACCGGCCUCCUUGCUCCUGCGGUACGGCCCAGUCUCCUACGUGCCGCAGCAGUGGGGAAUAUUGCACAACGGGCGGACGCCUGAUGCAGCAACGCCGCGUUCGGGAUGCCGUCCUUUGGGUUGUAAACCGCUUUCGCCUUUGACGAGGCGUGCUUGACGGUACUUGGUCAAGAAGCCCCGGCUAACUACGUG